rnacentral:rRNA from 1 species
UCGAUGUCGGCUCAGCUCAUCACAUCCUGGGGCUGAAGUAGGUCCCAAGGGUAUGGCUGUUCGCCAUUUAAAGUGGUACGCGAGCUGGGUUUAGAACGUCGUGAGACAGUUCGGUCCCUAUCUGCCGUGGGCGCUGGAGAACUGAGGGGGGCUGCUCCUAGUACGAGAGGACCGGAGUGGACGCAUCACUGGUGUUCGGGUUGUCAUGCCAAUGGCACUGCCCGGUAGCUAAAUGCGGAAGAGAUAAGUGCUGAAAGCAUCUAAGCACGAAACUUGCCCCGAGAUGAGUUCUCCCUGACCCUUUAAGGGUCCUGAAGGAACGUUGAAGACGACGACGUUGAUAGGCCGGGUGUGUAAGCGCAGCGAUGCGUUGAGCUAACCGGUACUAAUGAACCGUGAGGCUUAACCUUACAACGCCGAAGCUGUU